UUUAUAAUGUGUGCAGCAGCUCUUUAUCGCUGACAUGAUUCCAGCUAUUGCUUAGAAUACUGUUUUUAUUAUUACAGUGACGAUCGUGAGAAAUUAACAUAUUUGCAACAACACGUCGUAGUUCUGUAAACAGAAAGCAUUCCAUUCCUCAUUCGCGUUCAUAAAUUUCCCAAACGGCUGUGCAGGUCAGCUGGCAUGAUAAUUAGUUAGCCACAGCGUAACUCAUUACGAAAUUUUUCCUGAGCAAGUUCAAGUUCGUAACCAAUUGCCGCAAAAUAUCAACAGUGAUCAAAACUCGAACAUCGUGUAAAGGUAGUUCUACUUCUGUGCGAAUCACGUAUAGAACACGCGAAAGCGCGCAACCUUGACCAGUUAUGCUAAACUAUUCGCCGAUCAACACCUGACGUUACGAGCGAAGAUUUGCUAAGUUUUCAUCGCUAAGAGCACCCGAUUAGAUCGUAACCAACGAAAAACACAGUACAUUCACGCUUUUUAAAGAUUAUUGCCCAUUUACAUUGUACUGUCAAAUUUUUCAGUCAGUAUUUCGACCCAAUGAAUUCCUGUUUCCAAUUUUGAGAUCAGGUGGAUCAAAAACUGCACCCCGUCAGCUGUGCGAUAAUUUUCUAAAAUGGCGAUUGCCUGCUUUUGUAAUAUAAAAAUUUUACAUGCCGAGAGAAUUAAUUCUACUCCCAUAAAUAACACCUAAGCCUCACAGUGCGUGGUUACUUAAUCGUGAAUGUGUAGAUUUGGCGAAAUGCAAAAAAAAACAAAAAAACUUAUGUGAUUCGUAAUUUUUUCAAAUCAAAUAUUCAAAUACGGGUACGAGCGACGCAAUUCGGUAAACAAUUUCCGCAUAGUUACAGCUUCUUGCAUUACGUACAGCGUAUUGUAAUACCAGUUUCGUGACAAUAUAUUUAUACAUGUAUGAUAUCGAAUCUAAAACGUAUAAGUUUAUUGAUUACGUAGCAAAAUACCUAUUUAAAUAUUUGGUGUCACAUUAUUACCAAGCUAAGUAAUUAUUCAUUAUUGUACAAUAUGCGAAUAGCCAUAUUGGAUAUGGGCAGUGCUCCGUAGUAAUAAUAGUAGUAUAUUAUAACAGUAAAAUAAACUUAAACUUUUUUGUAUAUUAUUAUGAUAUAUAAAUAUAUAUGUAUGUUUUUAUAUAUGUAUAUAUAUAUACAUAUUUAUGUAUAUAUAUAUAUUAUUUUAUAUGCUAGAAGUAGCCUAGGCACCUGGUGAAUGGUGAAUUGGUAAUGUAUAAUCGUCAAAAAAGAGCAUCACAGGAUAUGAAAGGAUAGAAAAUUGGAAGAAAAAAUUUUUCCAAAAAAGAAACAACAAUUCUCUUUCGUCUUCUAUAAAACAUAUAUUAUUAUUUUCAUUAUUAUAACAUAAAACUUAUUUAUACUCUUUUUUGACCGCAAUUGUAAUAUAUUUAUCUGUUACAUAUACUCUCGAUUUUUGUAAGCGGAGAAGAUUGAAAACAAAUUUUAACUUUAUUAAUUUGUUAAACGGCUUUUUGUGUUUGAUCUUUCUGUCGUAUCUUGUAUGUGUGAGUUAAUUUUUUUCAUUUACCUAAUAUUUUUUUUU